rnacentral:rRNA from 1 species
UACGUCCCUUCGGGGGCCCUGGAUGUGGAUGCAUGGGACCUGAUCUGGUAGUAGCCAAGCGAUGGGGUGACGCAGGAAGGUAGCUGAGCCAGUCAGUGGUAAUACUGGUGUAAGCCUGUAGGGCGAACGGUAGGCAAAUCCGCCGUUCACGAGCCUGAGAGGUGACGCAUAGCCGAAUGAGGCGAAUUCAGUGAUCCUAUGCUGCCGAGAAAAGCCUCUAGCGAGCUUUCACACGGCCCGUACCCCAAACCGACACAGGUGGUCAGGUAGAGAAUACUAAGGCGAUCGAGAUAACUAUGGUUAAGGAACUCGGCAAAAUGCCCCCGUAACUUCGGGAGAAGGGGGGCCUCGUCCGGUGAUGGAACUUGCUUCCUGAGCUGGGUGGGGCCGCAGAGACCAGUGAGAAGCGACUGUUUACUAAAAACACAGGUCCGUGCGAAGUCGUAAGACGAUGUAUACGGACUGACGCCUGCCCGGUGCUGGAAGGUUAAGAGGACCGGUUAGCCACUUGUGGCGAAGCUGAGAAUUUAAGCCCCAGUAAACGGCGGUGGUAACUAUAACCAUCCUAAGGUAGCGAAAUUCCUUGUCGGGUAAGUUCCGACCUGCACGAAUGGCGUAACGACUUCUCAGCUGUCUCAACCAUAGACUCGGCGAAAUUGCAUUACGAGUAAAGAUGCUCGUUACGCGCGGCAGGACGAAAAGACCCCGGGACCUUCACUACAGCUUGGUAUUGGUGUUCGGUUCGGUUUGUGUAGGAUAGGUGGGAGACUGUGAAGCGCUCACGCCAGUGAGUGUGGAGUCGUUGUUGAAAUACCACUCUGAUCGUAUUGGACCUCUAACCUCGGACCAUGAUCUGGUUCAGGGACAGUGCCUGGUGGGUAGUUUAACUGGGGCGGUUGCCUCCCAAAAUGUAACGGAGGCGCCCAAAGGUUCCCUCAGCCUGGUUGGCAAUCAGGUGUCGAGUGCAAGUGCACAAGGGAGCUUGACUGUGAGACUGACAGGUCGAGCAGGGACGAAAGUCGGGACUAGUGAUCCGGCACCGGCAAGUGGAAGCGGUGUCGCUCAACGGAUAAAAGGUACCCCGGGGAUAACAGGCUGAUCUUCCCCAAGAGUCCAUAUCGACGGGAUGGUUUGGCACCUCGAUGUCGGCUCGUCGCAUCCUGGGGCUGGAGUAGGUCCCAAGGGUUGGGCUGUUCGCCCAUUAAAGCGGCACGCGAGCUGGGUUUAGAACGUCGUGAGACAGUUCGGUCUCUAUCCGCCGCGCGCGUUAGAAACUUGAGGAAGGCUGUCCCUAGUACGAGAGGACCGGGACGGACGAACCUCUGGUGUGCCAGUUGUUCCACCAGGAGCACCGCUGGUUAGCUACGUUCGGAAGGGAUAACCGCUGAAAGCAUCUAAGCGGGAAGCCUGUUCCAAGAUGAGGUUUCUCACCCCCUCGAGGGGGUAAGGCCCCCGGCAGACCACCGGGUUGAUAGGCCAGAACUGGAAGCCAGGUAACUGGUGCAGGUGACUGGUACUAAUAGGCCGAGGACUUACCACAA